rnacentral:misc_RNA from 1 species
AUGUUCACAAAAACAUCAUUGCUAGGGUUACUGUAUUUAUGCGCUAUUUUGAUCGGUUUUCCAGAAAAAUCGACGGGAAGUGACCCCCUACCAACAACACCCCCCGCCCCAACAGUAUCCCCAUAUGGAAAUGAGACCCUUCCAACACUGUUCCCACCGCUGGUAUUUCCGAACUUCACCGUACCAACGCUGAACCCAAUGGCGCCAGUACCACCACCCACAUUUGGUCCAAUUCCUGGCCUUGGAAAUUUCACCCUACCUACACUUGGCACGCUGCCAGGCUUCGGGAACUUUACCCUUCCAACUUUUGCCCCACUGAACCUUAGUUUCCCGGGGCUUCCAACAAUGGCUCCGCUGAAUCUGAGUCUGCCAAAUUUCAUGAAUUUCACACUUCCAACCAUGCCAACAUUUGCUCCCCUGGUGCUAGGCGAUCUAUCCAACUUCACGCUACCUACCCUUGCUCCGUUCAAUCUAAGCCACCUGGGACUUGGCACCAUGCCAACUUUUGCACCACUGAACCUGAGCUUCCCAGGGCUUCCUACGAUGGCUCCACUAAACCUGAGCCAUUUAGGUCUUGGCACGAUGCCAACUUUUGCUCCACUGAAUCUCAGUCUCCCCGAGCUCCCCAGCCUUCCUACAAUGGCCCCGUUGAACCUGAGCCACCUGGGACUUGGCACCAUGCCAACUUUUGCUCCACUGAACCUAAGCCUACCCGCACUGCCUACCAUGUCCCCAAUGAACCUAACCAUCCUAGGACUCCCGACGAUGGCUCCAGUGAAUCUCACCGGGCUCCCCACAUUGCUUCCGAUCACCAAUCCGCCAUCAAUGGGCACUACAACCAAGCCACCUGCGGCCCCCAGUACUGCCUGCGGAUCCGCUACAUGUACCUCUACGCAGGUCUGCGCGUCGCCACUAAACUCGACACAGACCUGCAUCCCACGGCUCCCGGAUCGCCGUUACUGUAUUGAUGAGCCGUGUCAAGUGGGCAUGAAGUGCUUUGAUAACGUCACUAGCAACGCCUACACUUGUUAUACCAAACUGGACGGCACCGCCGGUGAAUGCCUUGGCAUCAAGUGCUCACCCGGAGACAUUUGCUUCCAAACUAUGGGAAAACCUGCCCAAUGCAUACAGCUUAAGCAAGCCCCAAAAUGCGUGGGCGCCAACGAGGAGUUCUCGGCGUGCAAGUCGGGCUGUGAGGGUACCUGUGAAGAACCGUCCCCGCCGUGCAUGAACUCGACCACCUGCACGUCAGGAUGUGCCUGCAUACGUGGUUAUGUGAGGAUCAAUGGGGUCUGUGAGCUCAUGUCAAAGUGCCCGGUUACUGUAACGGAAGGUGUUUCGUGUGCUGGCGCUGAAGUCUACACGGCGUGUAUGCCAGAGUGUGAGAAAACGUGCUCAGGGGUGCCGAAUCAGACAUCCCACCAAUGGGAUGCUCUUCUAUGCUCUGCGCCAACGGAACAACAUGCCGAGAAGACAGGGUGAAAUGUGACAAGCGUCCUUGCCCAAUACGAGCACUAUGCCUGCCGAACUUUCAACCAAAUGGAAAACCGAGCUUUUGCGAAGUGGCCGGCUGUGGUGCCGGGGAGAUUUGCCAUGAAACUAUAGAAAUAUGCGGGGAACCUCCUUGCAGAUCUAUGGCCACCUGCCUGCCGACAACCAACCACACCGUCAAUAUAACUGACAUCGGAUGCUCUAACGCUACUUGUCCAGUUGGGAAAAAGUGCGAAGAAGUCACAGUGGCGUGCUUCAGUCCUCCAUGCCUGAAAUCUGUAAGAUGUGUUGGAGAAAACUGGAUUCAGGAGGUGAAUUUCGACUGUGACGCGAUGCGAUGUGGGCCUGAUGAGGGAUGUAUGCAGAGUGUGGAAAUUUGUGAGAGGCCUCCGUGCCCAACAAAAUCAUGGUGCAUCGUCCAAACAAAUGUGGACACUUUUACAAAAUGUCCUAAAAACCAAACUAUGACGGAUUGCCUCAACCCAUGCAGUGAAGAUAAGUGCCCAGGAAUUUUAAAGAAAACCGAAUGCACAAAUCGCUGCGGCCAGGGAUGUGCUUGUGCCUACGGCUACCUCCGAUCCAGCGACGGCGAGUGCUACAAGCCCAAGGAUUGUCCACCAGAGUGCGGUCAAAACGAGGAGUACCGGUGUGAAAAGUGCGCGGGAACCUGUAAAAACCCGGAGCCCAACUGCCCCGGACCAAAGAACAAGAGCUGUAAGAGGGCUUGCAUUUGUGCACCGGGCUUUGUAAAGGAGAAUGGAAAAUGUGUGACGCUGGAUAGCUGCCCGGAUCAUGAUCAUACAAACAUCACGUGUCUGGAAACCCAAGAGUACACGGAUUGCCUCCCAAAAUGCCAAAAACAGUGCUCGGGGGCUCCAAAAUGUGAAGCUGGCUCAGCAUGCACCCCGGGAUGCUUUUGUAGGUCGAAUUACAAGCUGGACAGCAAUGGUGACUGUGUUCACAAGCGGAAAUGCUCCGAAACCACCAAAUGUCCGGGCAGCGAGAAAUGGUCCAAUUGCAUUGGGAACGCAAACUUAUGCGAUUUGACUGCAUUUUCUAGGCUUUCAGACAAAUUCAAUUGUCGUUCAGGGUGUAUAUGCGCUGAUGGAUUGGCAAGGGACAAAAAUGGGACAUGUGUGGCUACUGAUAAAUGCUGA